AGAGUUUGAUCCUGGCUCAGAAUCAACGCUGGCGGCGCGCUUAACACAUGCAAGUCGCACGAGAAAGCGGGAGCAAUCUCGCAAGUAAAGUGGCGUACGGGUGAGUAACACGUGGGUAAUCUACCUUUUAGUGGGGAAUAACGCUGGGAAACCGGCGCUAAUACCGCAUAAUCUCGAGAGAGGAAAGCAGCAAUGCGCUGAAAGAGGAGCCCGCGGCCGAUUAGCUAGUUGGUAGGGUAAAAGCCUACCAAGGCAUAGAUCGGUAGCCGGCCUGAGAGGGCACACGGCCACACUGGCACUGAAACACGGGCCAGACUCCUACGGGAGGCAGCAGUGGGGAAUCUUGCACAAUGGGGGCAACCCUGAUGCAGCGACGCCGCGUGAGCGAUGAAGCCCUUCGGGGUGUAAAGCUCUUUCGGCAGGGACGAUAAUGACGGUACCCGCAGAAGCAGCGGA
rnacentral:rRNA from 1 species